GCAAGCGUUGUUCGGAAUUACUGGGCGUAAAGGGCUCGUAGGCGGCCAACUAAGUCAGACGUGAAAUCCCUCGGCUUAACCGGGGAACUGCGUCUGAUACUGGAUGGCUUGAGAUUGGGAGAGGGAUGCGGAAUUCCAGGUGUAGCGGUGAAAUGCGUAGAUAUCUGGAGGAACACCGGUGGCGAAGGCGGCAUCCUGGACCAACACUGACGCUGAGGAGCGAAAGCCAGGGGAGCAAACGGG
rnacentral:rRNA from 1 species